CAGCAGACACAUUCAAGCCAAUCAGCAGCAGACUCUCCCUCCCAGACCCUCCCAUCUCCUGGACAGCAUCCAUUUUACAUUCAUUGUGAAGCUGCAUUCUUAGUGAGCUGUCCAGGAGGUGGAAGGGUCUGGGAGGGAGGGUCUGCUGCUGAUUGGCUGGAAUGUGUCUGCUG
rnacentral:miRNA from 1 species